CAAGAAAAGGUCAGGAUAGCUCAGUUGG
rnacentral:tRNA from 3 species